UAUCAUUAACGGAGGAAAAGAACUAACCGGGAUUCCCUUAGUAACGGCGAGUGAACAGGGAUUAGCCCAGCACCGAAGCCUGCGUCCGUUUGGGCGUUAGGCAAUGUGGUGUUUAGGUUCUGCGCUUUUGGUUACUACUUUGUUCCAAGUCCAAUCUUGAAUAUGGCGUUUGUUUGGCCCAGAGAGGGUGAAAGGCCCGUAUGGACAGAGUGGUAUCUGACUGCGUAGACCGUGAAGUCGGGUUGUUUGAGAAUGCAGCCCAAAGUUGGUGGUAAACUCCAUCUAAGGCUAAAUACUGGCACGAGUCCGAUAGCGAACAAGUACCGUGAGGGAAAGUUGAAAAGUACUCUGAAGAGAGAGUAAACAGUGCGUGAAACCGUUCGGAGGCAACGGGUGUAGUCAAGCUGCAAGCCUUGAGAAAUUGGCGGAUCAGAAUGGCGUGAGCCUGGGCACGUAGAGCUGGUAAUAGGUCUGUCUGGUAAGACAGGUUCGGCUCGCAAGGGUCGGAUUUGUGAAGUGUCAUUUGAUGCUGCAUGCCUGUUAUCGGUUGCUCUGCUGGUCCGUUGACUUUCUCAUGGCGUAUGUCACGACCGUCGCAGCUGUCGGUCUGCUUCGUCUAAACCGGAGCGUAAGAUGCCUUGUGUUUCUUGCGUUUCGGGGGCAGGUGGCUAGUCUGGCUUCGCGCUGGGCUGGUGUAAUCGCUGGGCGAAGUGGUAUCUGUGCAGUACGGCGGGGCUGGCGGUGCGUGGUACUGGGCGUGCUAAAGUGUGUCGGCAUGGCGUGAGUCUGGCUGCAUGUUGCUGCUUCGGCGGCCUUGUAGUGGCUCUGCUAUGGUUUGAUGUGCGGCUGCGCCUAGUCACCUUCGCGUUGUGCCUAUAGUCUGUGGCGUAGUGGUAGACGAUCCACCCGACCCGUCUUGAAACACGGACCAAGGAGUUUAACAUGUGCGCGAGUCAAUGGGUAGUGCUUUGCAUACGAAACCCAAAGGCGCAGUGAAAGUGAAAGGUUGGCAUCCCCGCCUUCCUGAGGUGAGAUCCUGCUGUUUCUCGGGCACUUUGAUCAGGCACUAGAGCAGUGGGCGCAUCACCGGCCCGUCCCAUGGUGUAGUACGGCUUGCUGUGCAGCAUCGGGGCGGAGCAUGAGCGUACAUGUUGAGACCCGAAAGAUGGUGAACUAUGCUUGCGCAGGUUGAAGCCGGAGGAAACUCUGGUGGAGGACCGUAGCGAUUCUGACGUGCAAAUCGAUCGUAUGAUGUGAGUAUAGGGGCGAAAGACUAAUCGAACCAUCUAGUAGCUGGUUCCCUCCGAAGUUUCCCUCAGGAUAGCUGGUGCUCGGAGUGGUAAAACAGUUUUAUCCGGUAAAGCGAAUGAUUAGAGGUCUUGGGGCCUAAAUGGCCUCAACCUAUUCUCAAACUUUAAAUGGGUGAGACGCUGGGCUCGCUUAAUUGGAGUCUGGCCUUCGAAUGUGAGUGCCAAGUGGGCCAUUUUUGGUAAGCAGAACUGGCGCUGUGGGAUGAACCAAACGCCUGGUUAAGGUGCCUAACACAACGCUCAUGAGAUACCACAAAAGGUGUUGGUUGAUAUAGACAGCAGGACGGUGGCCCUGGUAGUCGGAAUCCGCUAAGGAGUGUGUAACAACUCACCUGCCGAAUCAACCAGCCCUGAAAAUGUAUGGCGCUGGAGCGUUGGACCUAUACCGGGCCGGCUGUGCAAGCCGAGCUCAGAAUGUGUUGCUUGAGAGCUUCGUGCAUGGCUCGGGCGCGAAUGCGCAGCCCGAGUAGGAGGGUCGCCGUGGUGAGCUGAGAAGCUUCGGGCGUGAGUCCGGGUGGAGCCGCCACGGGUGCAGAUCUUGGUGGUAGUAGCAAUUAUUCAAGUGAGAACCUUGAA
rnacentral:rRNA from 1 species